GUGCCAGCAGCCGCGGUAAUACCGGCAGCCCGAGUGAUGGCCGAACUUAUUGGGCCUAAAGCGUCCGUAGGUGGCUGCGCAAGUCCGUCGGGAAAUCCACUCGCUUAACGAGUGGGCGUCCGGCGGAAACUGUGCGGCUUGGGACCGGAAGAUCCAAGGGGUACGUCCGGGGUAGGAGUGAAAUCCCUUAAUCCUGGACGGACCACCGAUGGCGAAAGCACCUUGGAAGGACGAAUCCGACAGUGAGGGACGAAAGCUAGGGUCUCGAACCGGAUUAGAUACCCGGGUAGUCC
rnacentral:rRNA from 1 species